rnacentral:rRNA from 1 species
UUAUUUUGAAUGUUAUUUUGAGCUGAGAUUAUUAAUAGUUAUGUUCUUUAAAAUUAAAAAAUUUGGCGGUAUUUUAGUCUGUUCAGAGGAACCUGUUUCUUAAUCGAUGGUCCACGAUAAAGCUUACUUUUAUUUUAAAUUUAUAUAUCGUCGUUUAUAAGGAUUUUAGUAGAAUUUAAAUUUUUUUUAUUCUAGAUUUGGAAGUAAUUCAGAUCAAGGUGUAGUUUAUAUAAAAGUUUUAAUGGGUUACAUUAUUUAAAAAUGUGGUUUUUAGUUUUUAAAUUUAAAAUAAAAUGGAUUUGAUAGUAAAUUUCUUAUUUAUGGAAUUUGAUUUAGCUCUAAAAUAUGC